AUUUAUAUAGUUUAGGAAAACAUUACAUUUUCACUGUAAAGACAAAGUAGAACUUUUAUAAGUA
rnacentral:tRNA from 1 species